ensembl:lncRNA
AUGUGUGAGCAAGAAGAGCCCUUUGGUGAGGGGGAGUUAAGGAAUAACAACCAGCAGGGUGGCAUGCUGGCUGAUGGCGACGCCAAUGCCAAUGACAUUCGGACAGAAGAUGGUGGGAGAACUGGGGAUACUGGCUGUCUGUCAGGACUGAUAACUGAAACAGCAGAGCAAGACAAAGUCAUCAUCUGGGGCACAGACUCUCAGUGUGAUGACCCUGAGCUGGCUGAAUUUGAGAUGUUAGAGUGUCAGGAGUUGGAGGCUUAUCUUGUUGAGGAGGAAGAGGACUUUGUUGGGCUUGCAGAGCGGAAGGAGCUUCAAGAACAGCCGUCAUCAUGCAGAAAAUCCACAGCAGAAGAGGCGAUAGAUUAUAAGGGCAGGGAAGAAAGGAAGUCAAUUCUGAACGGUGCCAGUGAGCAAGAAUCCAAUGACUCUCAUGUCUCUGAGAGCAGAGAAGCUUCCAAGACUGAGUUAAGCUCUGAAGCUGAUGUCUUUGUAUCCUGCCUGUCCACCAUUUCAAGCAUGGCCACUGCCAUGGACACUGUUGGCAAGAACCAGAUGACAGACUCCUGGCAUAUUGCCUCUGGUCCUCAUUCAACCAUCUCAGAGGACCUGACUUCCCAGAUUUGCACCACUAUCUCUGAGAGAGGCAAGGCCUCUCAAAUAGUUGAUGAUUCUUCUCUUUUUGCUAGAAAAAGCACAAUAACCCAGAAAGAUGUAGAUAUGAAUUUGAAUUCAGCAGUUCAGUCAGAUGAUGCUGUAUCACAGGCACAUGAUGUCAGUGGCAAGCACGGGACAAAUAAUAACCAGAGAAAUAAAGCAAAGGGUAGUGUUUUGGAGGUAAAUUGUACUGAGCACAAGGCUUUAACCUCUCCGACAAAAUGUCAAAAAGAAAGCAACGCUAAAAUAGAUAAAAGCACACAAGCUGAUGAAACCCCUGAUGUGAACUACAGGGCUCUCAGAACAGGUACAAAGGGGACUCAGUCAUGUAUUGAACCUAAAGCCAUAAAGAAACAAGGCUCGUUUGAUAACACACUGAAGAAACAAAGCUCUUUUGAUAAAAGUCUCAAAAAGCAGCCUUCAUUUGAGAAUUCUUUAAAGAAGCAGCUCUCUUUUGAUAACACCUUAAAAAAGCAGGGCUCCUUUGAGAACACCACCACUCCCAGCUCUUCAAGUCUGGAAAGGAGGAAGCCAUGGGGAAGCCCUAGUCGACCAGCAACUCCUACAUCCCCUAAAACCACCUCCUCUUCGUCACCUAAGAGACGACCUCCUGGUUCUCCAGCUAAGGUCCAGGGCAUCAGGGCACUGAGCCUGGAGCGCAGUGACUCCUCUCAAAGAGGAAUAAGUCAAACUGUCAAGCCACAUGCUAAGACCACUUUGAGCAGUGGAAUCCCCAAACCUAUCAUGCCUCAACAGAAGGAGUCCGAACCCAGGAGAUCUUCGCCCCCUCAGAAGCCCAAAAACGUGCGACCAAAAAUCAUCACGUAUGUUCGAAAGAAUGCUCAAGCAAAACCACCACUCACCGAUGCACUAAAUGAAGCCUCCACACACACAUCAAGAUUACCCUCUUACUCCAACCCACCAGCUCUCAAAGAUCCAAAGGUUGCUUCUCAAACUAAAUCCACACCAGUGCUCUGUUCCUCAAACCUGCUAUUUGACAAAUAUCGACAGGAGAUGCAGAAGACAGGAUACUAUCCUCCAGGUGUCGCUGUGACUGGAGUAAAACCUCCAAGCAGCACUCUCCCUCAACGGAGCGGAAAGCCAGACAGCUUCCAGGAGGCAUCAGACAAAUAUCUUCAAGAGGUGAGAAGCGGACUUUUGUUUCGAUAUGUUCACACAACUCAGGUUAUGGUGUUGUGUGAACAAUUUAGCACAGGGGUGGGCAAUUCCAGGCCCCGAGGGCCGGUGUCCCUGCAGGUUUUAGAUCUCACCUUGGGUCAACACACCUGA